rnacentral:rRNA from 1 species
AGCAGCCGCGGUAAUUCCAGCUCCAAUAGCGUAUAUUAAAGUUGUUGCAGUUAAAAAGCUCGUAGUUGAAUUUCGGGGUCUGUCCAUUGGUCGGGCUUCACGGUCCGUACUGGUGUGAUGGGUUCCUACCUUCUGAAUAACCAGCAUGCCAUUUAGUUGGUGCGCCGGGGAAGCAGAGCUAUUACCUUGAAAAAUUAGAGUGCUUAAAGCAGGCUAGUGCUUGAAUAGAUUAGCAUGGAAUAAUAAAAUAGGACGGCAUGGUUCUAUUUUGUUGGUUUCUAGGAUCACCGUAAUGAUUAAUAGGGAUAGUUGGGGGCAUUAGUAUUCAAUUGUCAGAGGUGAAAUUCUUGGAUUUAUUGAAGACUAACUUCUGCGAAAGCAUUUGCCAAGGAUGUUUUCAUUAAUCAAGAACGAAAGUUAGGGGAUCGAAGACGAUCAGAUACCGUCGUAGUCUUAACCAUAAACUAUGCUGACUAGGGA